GACGAACGCUGGCGGCGUGCCUAAUACAUGCAAGUCGAACGCAGUGGGGACGGGUGAGUAACACGUGGGUAACCUCCCAUCAGAGGGGAUAACACUUGGAAACAGGUGCUAAACCGCUACUGAUUGAUGGACCCGCGGUGCAUUAGCUAGUUGGUGAGGUAACGGCUCACCAAGGCCACGAUGCAUAGCCGACCUGAGAGGGUGAUCAGCAACACUGGGACGGAGACACGGACCAGACUCCGACGGGAGGCAGCAGUAGGGAAGAUUGGGCAAUGGACGAAAGUCUGACCGAGCAACGCCGCGUGAGUGAAGAAGGUUUUCGGAUCGUAAAACUCUUUUGUUAGAGAAGCGGUAUCUAAACAGAAAGCAACGGCUAACUACGUGCCAGCAGCCGCGGUAAUUC
rnacentral:rRNA from 1 species